GACGAACGCUGGCGGCGUGCUUAACACAUGCAAGUCGAACGGGCCCGCCCCUGUUUUUGGGGGUGGGUUUAGUGGCGAACGGGUUAGUAUCACGUGAGUAACCUUCCCCCUGCUCCUGGAUAACUUCUUGAAAGGGCGGCUAAUACGGGGUGUGCCUGCUGGUCCGCAUGGGCCUGGUCGGGAUAGUUUCAUCUUCGGGUGUUUCGGUGGGGGAUGGGCGCGCGGCCUGUCAGCUUGUUGGUGGGGGGAUGGCCCACCAAGGCGGUGACGGGUAGCCGGCCUGAGAGGGUGGGCGGCCACAAGGGGACUGAGACACGGACCAGACUCGGGCGGGAGGCAGCAGGGGGGGGUAGUGCACAAUGGGCGGAAGCCGGAGGAAGCGACGGCGCGUGAGGGAGGGAGGCCUUCGGGUGGUGAACCUCUUUCUCCGGUGGUGAAGGCCCUGUCCGUUGCGGCGGGGUUGACGGUAGCCGGGUAUGAAGCGCCGGCUAACUACGUG
rnacentral:rRNA from 1 species